rnacentral:ribozyme from 1 species
AGUAAGUUGCUCUGCUAUUGUGGUAGCAUGCGAUACUCUUCUGGGGGUACCAAAGGGUCUUCCUUCCAACUCUUAUUCCGUCACGUCCUCGUCAUGCUGAGUGGUAACUUGUCCCACCGCAUAUCCAAGCUUAUCCACGGGUUAUUCCUAUCCCCUUGGGCGGAUGGUGGAGCAUGGCUGAACGGGAGGGU